rnacentral:lncRNA from 1 species
UCUAUUCUAUUUGUGAGAAAGAGAAGGUCAAAGAAAGGUGUUCUUUUGGUGGAGCUUUGGGCUCAUCUACUUGUGCAGAGUUGGUGAAGCCACACGACGAGAGUCGAGCCGUUGUAUCCUGGAGGGGACAAGUCGGUGCUCUGCUGCAUCGGUUCAAAGGCUUUGCCAACCGCAGAGGGCUUGAAUCUCCUUAAAGAGAGCGAGAUAUCCGUGCCUCGGCUUGAUCGACUCGUUGAUAUUUUUUAAAUUAUUUUGUAGCUAACCUCUAUUUUUUGAAUAUUUACACUAACAGACUGUAUAUAGCACUUCCCAUGUGACCGUCAAAGAUUUGUUAACUUUCUAUUUGAACUUCAGUCUAAUUAUAUAUUAGUAUCAAAAAUGUUUCAAACCUCAAACUCCAUUUUAAACUUGGUAGGAUUUUAUAUUACUCUUGAACUUAAAGUUUCGAUGCUUUAUAUUAAAAGCUGCACCUUUUGUCACGUGAAAAUCGUAUACUGACACCGAUCGUAUCUACCGCAGUUUGCUAAGAGCUUAAUGAUUGAUACCUGCAAUUUCAAAUUCGAAGUCUAGCUGUUUCACAUUUCUAGCUAAGUUCACUUUAAAAAAUGAUCGAAACGAAUAACAUGUUAUCAUUCUCUCUCUCCAAAAAAAAGAAGACAAUAAUUAAUUAUGCAAC